rnacentral:ncRNA from 1 species
UGAAGUGAUUGUAGGGCGCAAUCACGUUAAUCAAAAGAAAGCCCGAUUUUU